rnacentral:lncRNA from 1 species
UUUUUUUUUUUUCUGAGACAAGAGGAUAAAAAUAGGCAAAUUAUAAGGACAGACUAAGUUUUUUUUUAAAAAUCUUUUAUUCCUACUGAGGUAAAACCCAUUAUGUCAACCAUUUUAAUGGGCACAAUUCAGUGGCUCUUAGUACAUUCCCAAUGUUGUAAAAGCAUCACAACUCUCUAAUUCCAGAACAUUUUCAUUAUUCCAAAAAGAAACUCCAGGUCGAUUAAGCAGUCAUUUCCUCAAACUUCCUUUUUCUCAACCCCUGGAAAACAUUAAUCCAGAUUAAUGUUGGACAUUAAUGCUGGGCAUUUCAUACAAAUGAAAUCACACAAUAAGUGGCCUUUUGUGUUGGGCUUCUUUUGCUUAAUAUAUUCAAGAUUCAUCCAUUUUGUAUCUUGUAUCAUUACUUUGUUCCUGUAGCUGAAUAAUAUUGCACUGUAUGGAUAUAACACAUUGUGUUUACUCAUUUGCCAAUUGAUUAAUGUUUAGAUUGUUUCCAAUUUUUGGCUAUUGUGAAAAUUAUGCUAUAAACAUGUACAAGUUUCUGUUUGAACUCUUAUUUUCAGUUCUCUUGAAUUCCACUCAAGUGGAAUCGCUGGGUCAUAUGGUAAUUCUAUGUCAAACUUUUAAAAGAAUUGCCAAACUGUUUUCCACAGUGGCUGGAUCAGUUUACAUUCCCACCAGCAAAUGUAGGAGGGUUCCAGUUUCUCUUCAUUCUCAGUAACACUUGUUCUUUCCAUUUUAUUAUUUUUACUAUUAUUACCUUCCUAGUGGCUGUGAAGCUGUCUUUCACUGUGGUUUUGAUUUUUGUUUCCCCAAUGACUAAUGAUGUGGCACAUCUUUUCAUGACUUGAUUGGUCAUCUAUAUAUCUGCUUUAGGAAGAUGUCUAUGCAAGUCCCUUUGCCCAUUUUUAAUUGUUUGUCUUUUGUUGUUGAGUUGUAAGAAUUCUUUAUCUAUGAAUACUAGACCCUUAUCACAUAUGAAAUUUUCAAAUACUUUAGUCAUUCUGUGGGUAGUCUUUUCUCUUUAUUGGGUAUGUCCUUUGAUACACAAGCUUUGGAUUUUGACAAAUUCCAGCUUUUUUUUUCUUCUGUCAUUUGUGCUUUUGGCAUUCAUCUAAGAAUACAUUGCCAAUCAACGAUACUUGAGAUUUACACCAAUGUUUUCUUCUAAGAGUGUUAUGGUUUUAGCUCUUACAUUUAAGGCUUUCAUCCAUUUUCAGUUCAUUUUUAUAUAUGAUAUGAAGUAAGGGUCCAAUAUAAUUCUUUUGCAUGUGGUUAUUCAGUUGUUCCAACACCAUAUGUUCAAAAGAUUAUUCUUUCCCCCGUUGAAUGGCCUUGGCACACUUAUCAAAAAUUAAUUGACUAUAGAUGUAGGAGUUUGUUUCUGGAUUCUCAGUUCAAUUCCAUUGGUCUCUAUAUCUACCAUUGCCAAUACCACACUAUUUUGAUUACUGUAGUUCUGUAUCAAGUUUUGAAAUCAAGAAGUGUGAGUCCUCCAAAUUUGUACUUCUUUUUCAAGACUGUUUUGGCUAUUUGAGGUCCCUUCCAAUUCAAUAUGAAUUCUAGAAUCAGCUUGUCCCUUUCAGCAAAAGAAAAAAAAAAAAGGAAUUGGAAUUUUGAUGGGGAUAGCAUAGAACCUAUCGAUCAAUUUGGAGAGCAUUGCCAUCUUAACAAUAUUAAGUCUUUUACUCCAUAAAUGCAGAAUAUCUUUCCAUUUAUUUAGGAUUUCUUCUACCAAUCAUUUUAUUAUUCAGCCUUUCUGCCAAGCUUUUCAGUUUAUUAUUUGCCCUGUUAUUCCUUGCUCUCGUGGCAAGCUCCAAUUCAUUUGCCUUUAAAAGGCUUUGACAAAUGCCCUCUGAGGAGUCACCUCAGCUGUGAAUUUUUCCAAUUUAGGCUAACUAAGGUUAAGACCUGUGAGGUGGUCCUUCAGGGAACCACCAGACAGGUCAGAAUAGCCACUAUUCUUUAAGAAUGAGUUCUGUGCUGCUCCCUCUGGUACCAGAAACCUGUACUAGAAAUGUGGCUGGUCUCCAACAAGCUGAGCCGGGAGUGGAGAAUGGGGAAAGGGUAAGUUAAAAUGCUACAAAGCUCCUUAUUGAGACUCAGAUUUUGUUGUUGUUAAGCAUUUACUUCAUUGCUAUAAACUGUUGGUCAGUUGCCAGAGUUCUGAUAAAGUUGAUUUUGACGGCCCUUGCCAGUGUAUUCAUCACUUUUGUAGAAGGACAAGGGUUUGGGGAUCCCUGCUCCACCAUUUUCCCCAAUACCACUCUGAGAUUUUUUGUUAGGAAUACAAAAAAACCCCAAAUUUCAGUGGCUCAAUACCACAAAGACUUAUUUCUUGCUCAUGACUCAUGCCCAUGUGCAUAGACUAGGGAUCUGUUCUACCUCGGUUUUAAGACUCGGCAAAACAGAACAGUCAGAAUCUGGAGUUGUGUCAAGAACUCUGGCUGAGGGAAGGAGGAUGUGUCAAGUCAUCCACUGACUUAAAACUUCCAUCUGGAAAAGAUCCAUUUACAUUGCAUUGGCCAAAGCUUUUCACAUGGUCAUGCCUAACUUCAAAGAGGGGCAGUGGGGAAUGCACUCCUACUGGGUAAGCAAAAGGAAAGGAAACUUUGUGAACAGCAUUAAUUGUGAAAAGAAAAUUUGAGGAGAUUCCUAUUAAAGUUAUGGUUAAGAGUAUAUUAAGUAGUCUUGAGGCUCACAGUAAAUAGUGAAGUAACCAUCUGAGUAUAGGAAGUGAGGACUACAUAGGGCUCUGAGAGUAUGUAAAACAUUUGGAAGUGUUGCUAUAUGUAGGCAAAUCAAUACAGCGGUAAUUUAAAAAUGAAAAAAGCUGUUGAGCAGUGUUGAAAGCCCAACUGAAGUUAGUUAUGUAUUUAUAAUGCAUCUAAUCAUUGUGGGAUGGUCUCUAGUAAUGCUUCAUGGCUUAAGACAAAUGAAAUAUAUUUAGCAUUAUAGGGUGACUAGCAAUAUAACGUAGCACUAAAAUAGAAGUAAGGGUCAUGCUUGAAUUUGGGUAAUUGUGCUAAUAUGAGAUGCAUUUUUUUUUUCUUCUCCUAGGCUCAUAUAACAUUUUGGACAGUUCAACCUCAUUUAUUCUACUCUGAAUAAAUCCAAAUGCAAUGGGGUGAAACCUAUGAGGGAAGACUUGCCUGUGGCUUGGCUGGAUGACCCAACCAUGAAAUGCUAUUGACAAGAUAUAAUUCUUGGCCUCCAAUAAGAAUGUUUAAAAUGUUUUUUUAAUCUUAAAAAACUCAUCUGUGACAUUUCUAUUGUUUCACCUUUUGAAGUUUCUAAAAGGUUUGGGAAAUGAAAAAGGAUGAAUAUAAUAAAUGAUUACUUGUGGAUUGAGGGGAAAAACAUAAGAGAUUUAAAACCUAGUGAUCAGGUACUCUCUCUACUUGCACUGAGGGGUAAGAAGAGACAAUUCAAUUAGAUGGAACAGAACUAACGAAUCCUUUGGAGCAGUGGAUGGGAUGGUAGAGUUACAGUUGAGUCUAGACCCAGGAGGCCCUGUGCUGGUGAGUGACAGCUCUGGAAAAAUUCUGAGAGGUUGUUAAAUGUAGAAGGAACAUACUGGCCAGAUGGUAGUAAAACCAAACCCAAAAUGUAGAGAACAUAAAUAGCUUCUUAACACCUUUCCUUCAGUGCUGUGCUUGAUGUGACCUUCAUCACAGUAUUAAGUGAGAGGAAGGUACAUAGUACGCUAGGACAGUAAUACCACCAGUCUUCUUCACUGGUUUGCAAGCCUUGGCCUUCAUCACCUUCCCUUGAGUAAAACCAAGGAUAAGACAGAGGCAAAUGAAAGAAUGACUCCCUUCAAAGGAGGCUUUUAAGAUGGCUACAAGGGAAGUUUCUAAUGAGCCAUAUCUGGUUUUAUUGUGCUUUGCUGAUAUUGCCUUUUUUUUUUUUUUUUUUUUUUACAAAUUGCAGGUUUGGGGCAACCCUACAUCUGACAUAUCUACUGGUACCAUUUUCUAACAGCAUUUUCUCAAUUCAUGUUUCUGUGCCAAAUUUUGGUAAUUCUUGUAGUAUUUCAAAAUUAUGAUUAUAUUUUUUAUGGUGAUUUGUGAUCAGUGGUGUUUGAUGUUUCUAUUAUAAUAGUUUUGUGGUGCCAAGAACCAUGCCUAUAUAAUAAGACAAACUUAAUUGAUAAAUGUUGUGUGUGUCCUGCUUGUUCCACCAACAUGCUGUUCCCCUGUCUCUCUCCCUAUUUUAGGGUCUCCUAUUCCGUAAGAAAUAACAAUAUUGAAAUUAGGCCAAUUCAUAAUCCUAUAAUGGCCUCUAAGUAUUUAAGUGAAAGGAAGAGUUGCACAUCCCUCCAUCCCUCAUUUUAAGUCAAAAGCUAGAAAUGAUUGAGCUUAGUGAGGAAGGUAUGUUGAAAGCUGAAAGGCAGAAAGCUAGACCCCUGUGCCAAACAGCCAACUUGUGAAUACAAAGGAAAAGUUCUUGAAGAAAAUUCAAAGUGCUAUUCCAGUGAACAC